CCCGAUGGUUUUUUACCAGCGCGUCGCGACCUCAAGCCACCAUCCACUAUGUACUUUCAGUUAAUUCCCACUAUCCCACACGUUCCAUAAGAUUACUUGAGGAGGCAUUUGAGCAACCGGCCGGACUAGUGACGUCGCCCAUAUUCAGAAGCCUAUCCCGAAGGUUCUCUUCAUCUUCCCUGAAUCAAUAUAUCUUCACAAAAUUUGCCUUCAAGGCUUCGAAUAAAAACAGUUUUCCUUCACAUCCUCGCCCCGAUGUACUUCACGAGGCGACUUCUCCCUAGCGGCGUCUGUGUAUGAAGAUGUGGCAGCGGCUUGAGGGAAUCAGGCGGCGGAGGCCUGGGGACGACAGGGCGGUUCCCUCACCUCACAGAAAAUCGAGUGUGCUCUUCCUCCCUCCCCUCUCGAGACUUGUGGCAGCUAUGGAGAGUGGGCACACAUCAGCACCGAAUGGAGGGCUUUAGCACUGGAUCGAGGCCAUCAGUCAUCACUACAAAUGGAGCAUUCAUCUGUACUUUCCACAGCCGCUGAUACCACCGCGCAGGUCAUAUGGUGCCUUGUAUUUGUGAUAUGAUUGAUUUCGUCUGAUUUUGGUUAAUUUGGCUAGUUUCUUCAAACUAUUUCUUGCAGGAAUUGUCAUAAUGGAAUGCGAAAUACUGGGACAAGUUUGCGUUUAUCUUCAUGAUAUAUGAGUCCAGGAGGACCGCCCGUGAGGUCUUAUCCGAGCUGAAGUUCUGCAUAUGUCCAUUCCAUUAGUUGAUUUCUGUAAUUGACGACAAGUAUGCCUGUUUGGGUUGUCAUCUCAACAAUCCUUCCAACAGUAUUUGGAUA